GUCUACAGCCAUACCACCCUGAAAGCGCCCAGUCUCAUCUGGCCUCGGAAGCUAAGCAGGGUCAGGCCUGCUUAGUACUUGGAUGGGAGAUUGGCUGAACUUGCAAGCAAAGGUGAUGACA
rnacentral:rRNA from 1 species